AACGAACGCUGGCGGCAGGCUUAACACAUGCAAGUCGAACGCCCCGCAAGGGGAGUGGCAGACGGGUGAGUAACGCGUGGGAAUCUACCCAGAUCUACGGAACAACAGUUGGAAACGACUGCUAAUACCGUAUACGCCCUACGGGGGAAAGAUUUAUCGGAUUUGGAUGAGCCCGCGUAAGAUUAGCUAGUUGGUGAGGUAAUGGCUCACCAAGGCGACGAUCUUUAGCUGGUCUGAGAGGAUGAUCAGCCACACUGGGACUGAGACACGGCCCAGACUCCUACGGGAGGCAGCAGUGGGGAAUAUUGGACAAUGGGCGCAAGCCUGAUCCAGCCAUACCGCGUGAGUGAUGAAGGCCUUAGGGUUGUAAAGCUCUUUCACCGAUGAAGAUAAUGACGGUAGUCGGAGAAGAAGCCCCGGCUAACUUCGUGCCAGCCGCCGCCGUAAUAC
rnacentral:rRNA from 1 species